GACGGUGAUGGUGUCCAUCUUCUUCUCUCGUUUCGAAGUUUUUUCAGAGGCGGAAGGAAGGGAGCAGGGCAGGCAGGGGGAGCGUCGUCGUUUCAAAGGUGUGAGCGUGAGCUGUGGUGUGUGUUUGUUGUUAAGAAGGUGUGAGGCCGGGGGUGGCGGUGGGGUUCAGUUUAGGCGCCCUCGACGGCGAGGCGGGAUCGGGAGAAGCCGCGGGAGCGGCGGUUGUUGGAGAGGCCCCUCUGUUGCAUGCACCAACGCGCAGCCCUCGAGAGCCGGAAACCUCCUGCCCGACGCCGCCUGCUGCUGCGGAGGAGGAGGAGGUUCCAACUUCCAACUCUGAACGAGCGACCGAACGACCAGGGAGUGGGGCGACAAGAGAGAGUGUGUGUGUG
rnacentral:lncRNA from 1 species